rnacentral:rRNA from 1 species
GGGCCCGCACAAGCGGUGGAGCAUGUGGUUUAAUUCGAUGCAACGCGAAAAACCUUACCUACCUUUGAAUCCUCGGAAGGAGCUAGAGAUAGCUCUGUGCCUUCGGGAGCCGAGUGACAGGUGCUGCAUGGCUGUCGUCAGCUCGUGUCGUGAGAUGUUGGGUUAAGUCCCGUAACGAGCGCAACCCUCGUCCUUAGUUGCCAGCAAUUCGGUUGGGGACUCUAAGGAGACUGCCGGUGAUAAACCGGAGGAAGGUGGGGAUGAUGUCAAGUCAUCAUGGCCCUUACAGGUAGGGCUACACACGUGCUACAAUGGCUAACACAAAAGGCUGCGAAACGGCAACGUUGAGCUAAUCCUCUAAAGUUAGUCCUAGUCCGGAUUGGAGUCUGCAACUCGACUCCAUGAAGCUGGAAUCGCUAGUAAUCGU